GACGAACGCUGGCGGCGUGCUUAAUACAUGCAAGUCGAACGGAAAGGCCCUGCUCUUGCGGGGUUCUCGAUUGGCGAACGGGUGAGUAACACGUGAGUAACCUGCCCUUGACUUUGGGAUAACUUCAGGAAACUGGGGCUAAUACCGGAUAGGAGCUCCUGCUGCAUGGUGGUGGUUGGAAAGUUUCGGCGGUUGGGGAUGGAAUCGAGGCUUAUGAGCUUGUUGGUGAGGUAGUGGCUUACCAAGCGUUUGACGGGUAGCCGGCAUGAGAGGGUGACCGGGCACAUUGGGACUGAGAUACGGACCAGACGCCUACGGGAGGCAGCAGUGGGGAAUAUUGCACAAUGAGCGGAAGCCUGAUGCAGCAACGCCGCGUGCGGGAUGACGGCCUUCGGGUUGUAAACCGCUUUCGCCUGUGACGAAGCGUGAGUGACGGUAAUGGGUAAAGAAGCACCGGCUAACUACGUG
rnacentral:rRNA from 1 species